rnacentral:rRNA from 1 species
UACAGAGGGUGCGAGCGUUAAUCGGAUUUACUGGGCGUAAAGCGUGCGUAGGCGGCUUUUUAAGUCGGAUGUGAAAUCCCCGAGCUUAACUUGGGAAUUGCAUUCGAUACUGGGAAGCUAGAGUAUGGGAGAGGAUGGUAGAAUUCCAGGUGUAGCGGUGAAAUGUGUAGAGAUCUGGAGGAAUACCGAUGGCGAAGGCAGCCAUCUGGCCUAAUACUGACGCUGAGGUACGAAAGCAUGGGGAGCAAACAGG